CUCCUCUCAUUUUAUGUGAAAGUAUACGAAAGCCCAAACUCGUAAAGCAGCAGAAAUAACCCUGGACGCUGGAACCAGCAGCCUCGCGGUCAGUCGUGUUGUGCGUCUCAUAGUGCUAACUAGUGACAUCAAAGAUGGUUCUGGACACAGAAGACUGGGCCGAUGAGCUGCCGCCAGAACAAAUCGCCGUCCUUCGCAAAGCGUUCGAUGGCUUCGACCACAACCGCUCAGGCAGUAUCCCAUGUGACUUCGUAGCUGACAUCCUCCGAAUGAUGGGUCAGCCCUUCAACAAGAAGAUUCUUGAAGAGCUCAUUGAGGAGGUCGAUGCUGACAAAUCCGGUCGCCUGGAAUUCGGCGAAUUCGUCACUCUUGCUGCCAAAUUUAUCGUUGAAGAAGACGCUGAGGCUAUGCAGAAAGAACUCAGGGAGGCCUUUAGAUUAUACGAUAAAGAAGGCAAUGGUUACAUUCCCACGUCAAGUUUGCGCGAAAUUCUUCGCGAACUGGACGAGCAGCUCACAGAGGACGAACUCGACGGCCUUAUCCAGGAAAUAGACACUGACGGCAGCGGCACAGUAGACUUCGAUGAGUUCCAAAUGAUGAUGAGGAGUAAUUAGAAUUGCUAAAGAUUUAUAGACAAAUCAGUCACUAGAAAUGAGCCAAAUAAUCCUGGAUUGGAUUCAAACAAGUUCAUGGAGAUGAUGACUGGGGAAUAAAUAUACUUAUCUCUACAUUUUUUGUACUUUAAUAAAUGAUUAAAUAUAAGGCUAUUUAUACUUCAUACACUUUGGUACUCCAACCUUUUGACUCUUGAUAUUAUAGGACAAAAAGCAUACACGAAAAAUAGGAAAACGCUAAAGUAUUAUGUAUGUAACUGUACAAAAUAAUCCCUCGUUCUUGUUUAAUUGAUGUGUGUGGCUGAGUAAUGUUUAUAUCUACUUUAUUAAUAAAUCUUUUACAAUA